AUAGGUGGCAAGCGUUGUCCGGAUUUAUUGGGUUUAAAGGGUGCGUAGGUGGCCCUGUAAGUCAGUGGUGAAAUAUCUCAGCUUAACUGAGAGGGUGCCAUUGAUACUGCAGGGCUUGAGUACAGAUGAGGUAGGCGGAAUUGACGGUGUAGCGGUGAAAUGCAUAGAUAUCGUCAAGAACACCGAUAGCGAAGGCAGCUUACCAAGCUGUAACUGACACUGAGGCACGAAAGUGUGGGGAUCAAACAGGAUUAGAUACCCUGGUAGUCCACACUGUAAACGUUGAUGACUCGAUGUUGGCGAUACACAGCCAGCGUCCAAGAGCAAUCGUUAAGUCAUCCACCUGGGGAGUACGCCGGCAACGGUG
rnacentral:rRNA from 1 species